CAGGCCAAUCGCAGUAGAAAUGGAAGUUGGAAUUGGAUGAGAUACAAGGCUGGUUCAUGAAAUCUGCCAGGAGAACUGUUUUGGUGAUGGAGGACUUGUCAGCAAUGAUCUUGAGUACUUGAAGGGCAUUGGCGUGUGAGAGGGAUUUUGCUGUCAUCCUUAGUGGCUGAUCUCCUUCUGCCGAUUCUAUUGCUUCCUGCAGCAGAGUAGUUUUUACUUGCAAGACCUCGGUGAAAUCCACUUCGAAGACAUCACAUUCCUUCAAGCAGCUUAAGCGGUUACCAUUGUUAUUCAAGUGUUAGAUAAACCUUCGAUGGAUGGGAUUGAACCAGAAAUUUUUGGUAAGGCAUUGUAACCAAGCCUUGAAUCAUAGCUAGAGAUUGUGUCCCUGGGUUUUCCAUUGUGUAAUGUUGCAAAAUGAACAUGGGAAAUUCAAAUGCUGGGAUUACUAGCUUAUAAGUUGUGAAAUAA